GAUGAACGCUGGCGGCGUGCCUAAUACAUGCAAGUCGAGCGAAUGGAUUAAGAGCUUGCUCUUAUGAAGUUAGCGGCGGACGGGUGAGUAACACGUGGGUAACCUGCCCAUAAGACUGGGAUAACUCCGGGAAACCGGGGCUAAUACCGGAUAACAUUUUGAACCGCAUGGUUCGAAAUUGAAAGGCGGCUUCGGCUGUCACUUAUGGAUGGACCCGCGUCGCAUUAGCUAGUUGGUGAGGUAACGGCUCACCAAGGCAACGAUGCGUAGCCGACCUGAGAGGGUGUACGGCCACACUGUGACUGAGACACGGCCCAGACUCCUACGGGAGGCAGCAGUAGGGAAUCUUCCGCAAUGGACGAAAGUCUGACGGAGCAACGCCGCGUGAGUGAUGAAGGCUUUCGGGUCGUAAAACUCUGUUGUUAGGGAAGAACAAGUGCUAGUUGAAUAAGCUGGCACCUUGACGGUACCUAACCAGAAAGCCACGGCUAACUACGUGCCAGCCGCCGCAGUAA
rnacentral:rRNA from 1 species